rnacentral:rRNA from 1 species
CACAUGCAGUCGAGGGGCAGCAUCAUCAAAGCUUGCUUUGAUGGAUGGCGACCGGCGCACGGGUGAGUAACACGUAUCCAACCUGCCGACAACACUGGGAUAGCCUUUCGAAAGAAAGAUUAAUACCGGAUGGCAUAAUUAUUCCGCAUGGGAUAAUUAUUAAAGAAUUUCGGUUGUCGAUGGGGAUGCGUUCCAUUAGGCAGUUGGCGGGGUAACGGCCCACCAAACCUACGAUGGAUAGGGGUUCUGAGAGGAAGGUCCCCCACAUUGGAACUGAGACACGGCCCAAACUCCUACGGGAGGCAGCAGUGAGGAAUAUUGGUCAAUGGACGAGAGUCUGAACCAGCCAAGUAGCGUGAAGGAUAACUGCCCUAUGGGUUGUAAACUUCUUUUAUACGGGAAUAAAGUUAGCCACGUGUGGCUUUUUGUAUGUACCGUAUGAAUAAGGAUCGGCUAACUCCGUGCCAGCAGCCGCGGUAAUACGGAGGAUCCGAGCGUUAUCCGGAUUUAUUGGGUUUAAAGGGAGCGUAGGCGGGUUGUUAAGUCAGUUGUGAAAGUUUGCGGCUCAACCGUAAAAUUGCAGUUGAUACUGGCGACCUUGAGUGCAACAGAGGUAGGCGGAAUUCGUGGUGUAGCGGUGAAAUGCUUAGAUAUCACGAAGAACUCCGAUCGCGAAGGCAGCUUACUGGAUUGUAACUGACGCUGAUGCUCGAAAGUGUGGGUAUCAAGCAGGAUUAGAUACCCUGGUAGUCCACACAGUAAACGAUGAAUACUCGCUGUUGGCGAUAUACGGUCAGCGGCCAAGCGAAAGCAUUAAGUAUUCCACCUGGGGAGUACGCCGGCACGGUGAAACUCAGAGGAAUUGACGGGGGCCCGCACAAGCGGAGGAACAUGUGGUUUAAUU